rnacentral:rRNA from 1 species
UACGGAGGAUGCAAGCGUUAUCCGGAAUGAUUGGGCGUAAAGGGUCCGCAGGUGGCAGUGUAAGUCUGCUGUCAAAGAAUGAGGCUUAACCUCAUCAAGGCAGUGGAAACUACACAGCUAGAGUACGGUCGGGGUAGAAGGAAUUCCUGGUGUAGCGGUGAAAUGCGUAGAGAUCAGGAAGAACACCGGUGGCGAAGGCGCUCUGCUAGGCCGUAACUGACACUGAGGGACGAAAGCUAGGGGAGCGAAUGGG